rnacentral:rRNA from 1 species
GAUGAACGCUGGCGGCGUGCCUAAUACAUGCAAGUCGAGCGAACGGACGAGAAGCUUGCUUCUCUGAUGUUAGCGGCGGACGGGUGAGUAACACGUGGAUAACCUACCUAUAAGACUGGGAUAACUUCGGGAAACCGGAGCUAAUACCGGAUAAUAUUUUGAACCGCAUGGUUCAAAAGUGAAAGACGGUCUUGCUGUCACUUAUAGAUGGAUCCGCGCUGCAUUAGCUAGUUGGUAAGGUAACGGCUUACCAAGGCAACGAUGCAUAGCCGACCUGAGAGGGUGAUCGGCCACACUGGAACUGAGACACGGUCCUGACUCCUACGGGAGGCAGCAGUAGGGAAUCUGCCGCAAUGGGCGAAAGCAUGACGGAGCAACGCCGCGUGAGUGAUGAAGGUCUUCGGAUCGUAAAACUCUGUUAUUAGGGAAGAACAUAUGUGUAAGUAACUGUGCACAGAUUGACGGUACCUAAUCAGAAAGCCACGGCUAACUACGUG